UUUUUUCUCUCAACGCUUGUCCUGUCUAAUUAAGGUGUGGUGGGGGGACACAAACUGAUAACCUGUGUGUUAUUUUCCUUUUUUGACCCCAAAGUAAGAUCGACUGGAAACCAUCAUGUCAUUUAUAUUUAUCUAUUUAUGCGAAUGUCCUCACAUCUAUGCGAAUGUCCUCACUAAUCAACGGUAAAAUGAAACUGAUACCUAGAUGUGUGAUGAUCUGUUUUGCCACAAAUCAGGUGUGAAUGAGGUAUGUGACAUUUUCCCGUAUACAUAAGUGUUCGCCAGGAAGUGAGAAAACAAUAGCUACAUUCUGCCUUUCUGAAAAGUUGUCUCUUCUAAUCAUCAACUUGAUGAAAACUGAACUUUUCCAGAGUUAUACAUAUCAAUUUGUUUAUAGAACGUGAAGCGUUGAGGGUGACCGUAGACCGCGAUACUGUCCAAUAUGACCUCCUCGACUAAAUUACGAGGUCAUUUUCGAGCUGAGUAGAGACACACACGUUGUCCUAAUAACCAUAAUAGAUAAGAGUAUAAUGUUUAGGGUGGAAUCUUUUUUAAAAGGACAGGGUAAUUGGUACUAUGCCUCAAUUCAUUGUAUUGAAAACAUUCUGAUGAAACGAAUAAACGCGCUUCCCUAACAAAAACAAAACCUAACAAAAUGACUGAUUUCAAUAAAAUGCUAUCAAUGAAUAUAUCACGAUAAUAAAAUCAGAUAUUAAUAGAAGAAUAAACUUGUUUCACUUCAAAAAGAAAAAAAAACAACGAUGCAAAUUGCUUCCCACGAAAUUCUAUCGAUGCUAUAUGAUAAGAAAAUCGGAUUCUGAUUAACGAAUGAAUUUCCUUCCCUCCGAAAAAUCCUUACAAAAUGAAUAGAUUCGAUAAAAUCAACGGAUCGGGAUAGCAAAUUCUGAUGAAAGCCUAGAAUAAUUUUCCUCCAAAAAUUCGUGCAAAUUGAUUGGCUCAAUGUAAUUCUAUCAAUUAACUAUACGUGACAAUGAUAAAACUAGCAAUCAUCUUUCCACCAGCCCAGUCUUUUUUUCUAAAACGUACUGCCAACAUCAAAUUUAAAAUGGCUAGCCAAAUAACCGACACCCAAUUGGUUAAAGUCGUGGAGGAAUUUGGGGACCUGGACCAUCAGGGAAAUACCUCUGGUGUCGGUCCGUUUGAAAGGUUCUUUUUUCAUCAUUUAAAAGAUUCCUUUAUUAAACUAUCAGAUCAACUAAUAAAAUCAAACAAUCAAUGUUAGAUUUAGUCUGGUUAUUGAUUUUGUAUUUUCCAAAACUCAAUUUUAUUAUAACUUGAUUUCAUUUUUUUGUAGUGAAUCCAUAGAAUGGAGCGACAGUAUUGUCGCCAGGGAGACGUCAACUCCCAAACAGAACACUUCUGAAUCAAUCAUCUUAAUUGAAGAUGAAGAGGAAUCCCAUCAACAACAUCGACAGAGGAUCCUAAAGGGGCGCCAUAAAGAACUCCUCCAUAAGAGGGCUGGCUUAAUUAGAGAUAAACGAAAAAAAAAUUGAAGAAACAUUACGAAACAUUACAGCUAUUGGAGAAGUUAAUUCCGUUAAUUAACUGAUGUGGAGGACAUUUUGUGCUGUAUUCGAAAUUUGGACUAUAUGAAAAAUAUAAUAAAUUUUUUCUUACCUUUA